GCCAAGCAGACAUGAAUUUGUAGGACAUUGAUAACAAUGUGGUUUAUAAAAUUACUAGAUCAAAAAAGUGGUUUUCUAUCAUGGCGUAUUCAAUAAUAAAGUUAAAUCAAAGCUUUUUACAUAAUUAACCAAUUUGUACCAAGGGCCAUGGAAAUCCCAUCCAACCAAUUAUUACAAAGUAAUCCAAACAGUUAUAAACCUCAAGAAAUUUAUAUUCUUGGUUUACCAUCCUGAUUAUUUGGGUCCCCCUAUCAUUCUAGAUUUUAUUGCUUACCUAUUUCAUCAAUAACUAUUACCAAUUAUGAAAAUUUCUCACAUGUUCUGGUUGAUAGAUUAAUUUAGCACAAAUUUCAAAGAAAGGAUGCAGAUAUAAAGUUCACUGAUUCAGGAUUAUAAACUAGGCAUUGUAAUUUUAUUUUAUUUUUUGGUUCUUGUUAUCACUAUCAUGAAUUGUUGUGGUUUUGUCAUUUGGUUGGGGUCAGCUAUAUGGAUUUUUUCCUCUCUUCUACCUGCUUGACUUGGGGCUCAAAAGCACAAAUGUAGGUGGGGUAGGGUAAUUUUGGUAUGUCAAAAGAGUACCACAGAAAGGGGCAAACAUGCUGAUGGGUAAAAUACACAACCUAGCAUAUCAAUGGGCUUAAGAAACACAGUCUCUGAAAACUUAAAAAGAAAAGAGCUUUUCAGUAUUCCAACCUUAACUUUGAUGAUCAUAUAUCCAUGCAACAAAAAUGCUGGUGAGCCCCCUCCAACUUACCCAAAUGCAGGCUCCAUGGUAAGCAGUGGAAUCAUUGCCUUAGCAACGCUCGACUUUAUUGUUAAUUCCUCCCAAGCCUAGCAAUUAUAAAACCAUCCUUGGCAUAACCUAUUGAGUAUCAGACUUAAAUAUCAUCCCUUUUUUUUUUU
rnacentral:misc_RNA from 1 species